AAAAGUUAAAAAAGGCUUUGGGACGAGUUUAUCUGAAUAUUCAACUUGACGAGGUUUAUCCGGACUGCUGUGACACUUGCAGCCAGCAGUUAAUGAGAGAAGUGAGUGUGGGAGGUCAUUGAUGUAUAGAAGAAAAAGCAAAGGUCCAAGUGUUGACCCUUGUGGGACUCCGCAGGUAAUUGGUUGAAGGUCCGAUUCAGUGUUUCCUAAUUUGACAAACUGUUUUCUUUCAUUUAGGUAGCUUGAAAACCAUUAUUGUGGGGUAUCCCUAAUUCCAUAUUUGUACAUUUUAUCAAGUAAAAUGUUAUGGUUUAGGGUAUCAAAUGCCUUCGAGAAAUCAAGGAGAAUACCACUUUGAGAAACAGGCCCCUGGUUAAGCAGUUAUAAUCACACAAAAAAACAGACUUGAAAAAUAAACUGAUUUAUUCUGUUUUGUA